UGUCCUUGAGUUCUAAGGAGACAAGAACUGAAGUCUGGUUGAUGAAUCAUGACCGUGUAAUCAGAGCGUGAUUAAUGGCUCUGUUGAUCUCUCUUCGGAGAGUGUCAUUUGUGGCAAUGGAGGAUCGUUCUCAGACAGUGUGUAGAACAUCAGAGUUGUAGAACCAAAGCGUUUUACUUAACCUUCGAGGUAAAUGAUGACCCUCAUUGUUUUGGGCUUUCCAUGGACUAACCCAAAAUGAACCUUUUCCAAAGUUUGUUUUUUAACUAUUCAAGUAAUGUAAAGUCCUAAUUGAAAAUUUGUAUAUUUAAUAUUAAAAGUUAAUAUUUACUGAAUGUUUAGACAAAUAAACAGUUAAACAAGUAGUACG